GAAUAAUUACUGAAAAUAGAAGAGAAGAGAUUGCGAAUAAUUCAGCUAAACUACAAGAAAAUAUAUUUCUAGCGGCAGUUUUAAACCUGACUGUUUAACGUCUGCCACUAGAAAUAUUAAUAUGUAGCGGCAGUCGAUUAAAACUGCCCCUAGACAACAAACGGCUGCCGCUACAUAAAAAGGCACAAGUUUCACUUUGCCUUGCUCGCGCCUCUUCCCGUCAUCUCUCCUCACUCGCUCAGUCGUCUAUCGCUUUCUCUGUCUCUUUCUCUCCCCCUUUCUCUCACAGUCGCCCCUCUCUCACGCUCUCUCUUUCUCUCUCUCUCUCUCUCAGUUGUCCCUCUUUCUCUCUCUCUCUCUUGUUCUGUCAAGGGAGCGAUGUCUCUGUCAAAAUAGUGUUCUGAGGUAAAGUCGAUGCUUCUUCAGGCCUUCUUCUCGGAUUGGAAUUCUAGGUUUUAUUUCUAGGCCCCACAAACAAGUUCUUCCCCUCCUACAGCAACUCCCCAAGUUAUGCCAGCAACAUCAGCUCUGUCACCAUCAGUUCCUCUACCUGCACCUACCCCUGUCAUAGCCACCCCUGCUUCUACUACUGUCCCAUCUUCAUGAAGACAGGCACUAUUUGACUGAUCAUCCUGGAUUGGUGCCUAUAACCACUGCACAGGAGGAUAUGUUGAUCUGGGCACUCUUGUACAUGAGUCUCCGCGAGAUGCCCCAACCUUGUGGGAGAUUGGUGUUCCUGACCGCUCAGCUGCUGAGUUCUUCAUCCCAAAUCUCGACUCCCGCUAUGUCAACCCACUCUACAUAAAUCAGGACAGGUUUAGGCAGUAUGGUUUGUGGGAUAAGUAUGGGCUUAUGUAUCCCUACCAAUAUCUAGCUUAUACUGUAGGUGUUAGUGACUACUGAAAAGAUCGGUUCUACGCACACGUUACAAGAACAAUCAGCAAUCCUGCAGGGCAUAAAAUCUUAUCUGGGUUACUGGUAUUGGUACCAAAAAUUUGAUAGGGAAUCGGCCACAAGACAAGCCCUGUUCAAGCUUGCAUGGAGACUCAGGAACUGCUCAACUGUAGGUUGUGGGUUAUCCUCCUUGGUAGAUGUACUUAACUCAGCAUAUAUGCUGUAAAAGAGAAAGAGAAAGAUCAGAUAUCAAAAAAGUUGGUUCAAGGAGAAAAGAAAACAUACCAAUAUCUUACAUGCAAGAUCUAUACCAGUCAAACCAGUAAAUUUGCACGAGUUCAAUGAAUAUGAUCAUCAAACAUUGAGAAUCAAA